UUUUUUUUAAUAGUACAAACUUCUCAGCUGACAUAACUUACAAAAUUAAGUUGAUUAAUAUCUUUGAUAAAUAUUAUAUCCAUUAGAUUACCCUCCUUUUAAAUUUCUGUGUAAAAUUUAAUUUUACAGCAACACUUUUAAUGACAAAAAGGCUGGAGCAUGUAGGCCUGUACUCCUUGUAUUGAAAAUAAUCUCUGGCUCCACACUCCAGUCCAGUUGGUGGCGCUAAUGCAGCUCUCGGCUAGUUUGCCAACCGCCAAUAAAAAAAAGAAAAGAGAAGAACAAGUUUGAGGGGAAAAAAACAAGCCUGACGGCGACGGGCUUAUCAACGACGUUGUUCACUGGCGACGGAGUAGCCUAUCCACACACGUAGCUGUCACACGACGGUCUCCUUUGGUGGAAUUUCUGAGGAUUACUACUGUUCCCCUGUCUCAAAGUUCGUUGACAAACGCACUUCCAAUCUCCUCAGUGUGUUGAAGAAGAAAGGAGACUCUGCAGGAAGGGAACUUCGCAUACUUUUGACCCAAAGCUCAACAGCACCAAAUCUAUCAAGAGGAGUGGUUAAGGAUUCAACCAGAACCAUGUGGAUGGCUACCAAAAGAGCCUAAUUGAGGAUUCAAAUCCUACAGAUGUUCCAAGGGAGCUUAGACAGGUUAUCCUUACAGCAUCAGUGUUGAGGGAGGUGAUGCCACCACUCCUCCAGCUGAUGUUGGAAUAGUCCCCAAGGGUGCUGAAGUUCUGCAGGACUUGGGAGACAUCGCCUCUGCUUGUGAAAUCUUAAUACAGUAGGUGUAAUAUAUGCACUGAACCUCACUAAUCCUCAGAACCUUAAAGCCUUCUUUGACUCUCAACCAAGGUACAGAAUGCUCAAGAACAAACUCUAUGAAUGAGCCAACCAUUGAUUUGGAUGCUGAGUGUUCUGUAGAAUAGAACUCUAGGCAAUGCUUCACCAAAAUUGUUGACAACUAAAUGUUAUUUUGCAAACUUUUCAACACUUUAUAGUGCCAAUAGUUUUACUGUAUUUUUUUUUUUUUUUUGCCCAAUUGCACCAAAAUGUUAACUAUAUUAGUGCCGUGUUGGUGAAUAAAGUCCAUAACAAAAAUAAGUUGAAAUGAAUUUGUGUGGAACCUGUUGACAAAGAUUUGAAUUAUGUUAAACUAAUUUGGAAAAUAAUUAUUGAAUGAAAACCUAAUGUUUUCAUUAU